rnacentral:lncRNA from 1 species
AACAUACCCGUACAUUGCAAUGGAAGCAAAAUUGUACUCAAUAACCUAAAAUUUUCAGUAUAACAUCUGGUCUCACCCUGAUUUUGAUUGUAUACCAUUAGAAAUAUGAUGGGUUUCACCCCAACGGUAGUGCCCUUUUCCAUUAUUCAACAAUUAUUUCAAAAGAAAAGAAGAAAACACCACUAACUUCUCAAUGUGCAUCAUGACUCAGUAAAGCUUCCAGUGCAUGGACAUACUUCCUCCUCCCUUUCAUUUCCAUUGCAAUGUCACUUAUUUUACAAACCCACUUUGUGUGCCACUGCGCAGUUUCUUCUAUCCAACUUUGACACUGCACGCUAUUUCUUCUAUUCAACUUUGACAACGUCACAGCUAGCAACAAUGUGAAAGUAAUGUUUUUGUUGCCAUGGCUACAACAGUUUGACUAAAAAGAAAAAGAAAAUAGCUACAUUCAAGAACGGAGGGACAACUUCGUCAAACUUGCAAACCUUGUGUUACUUCUCUUACUUUUAGCAAGUUAAUAUUACUUGUCUGAGGUGUAGAUGAUAUCUGAAAAGCUCCCGGAGAAAGAUGAAAAAAAUGUUAACUAUAAUGAGUUAAAUAUAUAUAUAUAUAAUACAAAACCUAUGCAAGGAUCCACUUUUAUAUACAUCAACUUACGGAGGAUAUAUUUGUUUAUUCAGAUAAACUUGUAAAGUCACAUAUUUACAAGCCGCAUCUCGUUCUCCACCAAAAGAAAAGAAAAUAACCAAGAAAAUACAAAAUCUUAAAUCCCAAGAACUCAGUCAUGAAAUCAUUGGAAGCAAUGUGAUUCACAAGAGAGAUUUUGGGUUCACCUUGCUGGAAUUCAUGCAUUAGCGAUUGUUAGAGAAUCAAGGGCGAUUAUACCUCGAGACAAUGUAUUUUGUAGUUGCCAAGCUUGAUGACAAUUCAGGGAGUUCAAUUCCAAAUAGGUUAACGAGCCUAUGGAUACUGUGGAAAUCCUCCCCCUGCAAUGGUUUGAGUGUUCAGGUUCACAUAUUUAUGGACUACUUGUGAGUAAAAUAAAUUUUGAAGCUGAUAUAGUGUCAUCACAACCUGAAUAACAACAUCUGGAUGUGAAAUUUCACUUAAAACUUGCUGCAUUUAUGAAUAGUUUUGGAAGCAAAAUAAUCUUUGGUGCUACAGGAGAGCCUACAGGAU